rnacentral:lncRNA from 1 species
GGCCUGGGAGGAGUUUCAUGGCCUGGUGAACAGCAGCGGCCGCUGAUCGGACGCUCCCCUCUGUCUCUCACACUCAGGGGACAAUUCAAGCUUUCGAAAUACAAAAAUCACAUUGUGAAAGUACACAAGCUGGCAAUAACCCUCUUCUGUGUGUGUGUGUCCGGAAUGGAUGGGAGGUCUCCGGCCGGUCCCUCCGGCCGCUCACUGAAGGGACGCCCCUGAGCCGUGGGCUCCCCUUUUGCACUCAUUCCUGGAGGACAGAUUCCGCUAGACACCCUCCAGCGUCGCCGACUUUAUAAAGCGGAACAACAGAAAACGUGACUUUGUAAUAGACAAACUUUUUUUUUAAACGGGGUUCUGUUGGGGGCGGGGGGCGUUCGGCCCUUGGCUUCGCUGUGUGCUCUCCUCUGCUGUACGAAGGGCGUCGUGACCACGCGUGAAGCCAGAGCUGUGGACUGAGCGUUAGCAGUGUUAUGACUGUGCGUCCAGGAAGAGUCCCAGAACAGCCAUAAGUGCUCUCUUCUGGCUCUGCCAUGAAAUUAUCGGGACAUUUUGUUUAUUUCUCUCCCCUCCUCCCCCAAACCCACCAUUUUCUGAAAAUGUGUUAAUUGAUUUUGUAUAGUCUCCUGCCUUGUGCCCUCAGUUCUUCCCUCCUGUGGGGCUCUUUCUUCUUAGGCACUGCCGCACUUAGAACGUUAGUCCGGCGGGCACACUGGUCUCCCUGCGGCAGCUCGAGGGGCGCCUUGGUGAAGGAGCCUGGCACGGAAUGCAGCUGGAUCAGGAGCCAGGUCACCGUCAUGAGCUGCUCAUGUUUCCCUUCCUCCUUGGCACUGCAGUAUUUGAAAGUUCCCAUCAAAAGAUGCUGCCCCUGUGCUGGUCAGAACAAGUCAUUUCUCUUGGGCGGUGUCUGAGCCCCAGGGCUCUCCCGGAUGUCCGGAUAUCCUGCCCUGCGGCUUUAAGUGGGAGGCUGAAGAGUCAGUUUAGCCAGAACACCCGUGUUCCAAAGUAGCUUGAGAGCGACACGGCAGUGGUUCUGAGAGAAGCUCGUGGUCCACGGUGCUCCAAGAAUGAACUUCCAGGAAUUAGCCGGUGGCGGAGCAGAGGCUGUGACAAAGUGAUCUAGUGUUGCACUUUCAGCGCGAUUGUCUACUGCAGUAAUAAAUGGAAACUCCACAAGAACCAGGUCGUGGGCUCUUUCAUACGGGGAGGUGGGGGCACCGGCCGUUGUCACUGCUGCG